UACGUAGGAGGCGAGCGUUAAUCGGAAUUACUGGGCGUAAAGCGUGCGCAGGCGGUUUUGUAAGCCAGAUGUGAAAUCCCCGAGCUUAACUUGGGAACUGCAUUUGGGACUGCAAAGCUGGAGUACGGCAGAGGGAGGUGGAAUUCCACGUGUAGCAGUGAAAUGCGUAGAGAUGUGGAGGAACACCGAUGGCGAAGGCAGCCUCCUGGGCUAGUACUGACGCUCAUGCACGAAAGCGUGGGGAGCAAACAGG
rnacentral:rRNA from 1 species